GCUAUUGAAUUAUUCCUUUUGGAGGUACGUUAUAUCUACUUUGCUACUAGUACAUCUUCUUUUGAUCAUGGCGCUCUAGAGUCGUUACGAGUCUUAUCAAUGAGAAAUUACAAUAAGCUCAUACCUCUCUAAAUUUUUUCUAUAUCAUUUUCCCACCUCUUAUCAAAUUCAAACACCAAAGCAUUUAUUUGUAUAAAAGUUUUCCAUGACAAUUCUAUAAGCACAAAGAUGAGUAUAAUUUUGAGUGCUCCAGGGUUGGUGCAAUUUUUAUUUUUGGUUCUGUUUUAUUUGACCUUUAUAUCUCGCCACCGGCUCCACCCAAUCCUAGUCGGUUCGAGCCCUCAUUGGUCGAUGCCGAUGAAAACGAACUUCCGAGCAAUUCUCUCAUUCCGAACCACUCCGAAUUGCCAGUCAAUGAGAACGCUCAAAGGGUUUCAUCGUUUGAAUUUCGAAAUUUCCGAAUCGUAAAAUUUAUUUGCUGAAUCGUGGAAGAUUCACAAUCCAGGUUGACUAUCGGCCAGAUCAAAGUGGGCAAGGGACGAUGCAGCAGACGCCUCAGGCUUAAUGCAUUCAUCUAGAGGCUGAGAAUCGUCUCUUUCCUGUGCUAUCAAGAAAUUUUCUUCUGGAGAUGAAGUGAAGUCCUUGCUGUCCUUGUAAGAUUUCAUAUUCUAUUCAAUGAUCAUACAGGAUCGUAUAUUGAAUCACAUGAAGAAAUUAUGCCAUGAUUACUAUUAAAAAUUGUACUAACCUGAA